UACAGAGGGGGCUAGCGUUAUUCGGAAUUAUUGGGCGUAAAGAGCGUGUAGGCGGCCAGAUAAGUCCGCUGUGAAAUCUCGAGGCUCAACUUCGAGCUGUCGGUGGAAACUAUCUGGCUAGAGUCCGGAAGAGGAGAAUGGAAUUCCUGGUGUAGCGGUGAAAUGCGCAGAUAUCAGGAAGAACACCCGUGGCGAAGGCGGUUCUCUGGGACGGUACUGACGCUGAGACGCGAAAGCGUGGGGAGCGAGCAGG
rnacentral:rRNA from 1 species